AGUAAGGUUUCCUCAAACUUAUGC
rnacentral:siRNA from 1 species